rnacentral:rRNA from 1 species
CCCGGGUCUUGUACACACCGCCCGUCACACCGUGGGAGUGGGUUUCACCAGAAGUAGUUAGCCUAACCGCAAGGGGGGCGACUACCACGGUGAGAUUCAUGACUGGGGUG